rnacentral:rRNA from 1 species
AUUGAACGCUGGCGGAAUGCUUUACACAUGCAAGUCGAACGGCAGCACGGGUGCUUGCACCUGGUGGCGAGUGGCGAACGGGUGAGUAAUACAUCGGAACGUACCCAGUCGUGGGGGAUAACGUAGCGAAAGUUACGCUAAUACCGCAUACGUCCUGAGGGAGAAAGCGGGGGACCGUAAGGCCUCGCGCGAUUGGAGCGGCCGAUGGCGGAUUAGCUAGUUGGUGGGGUAAAGGCCUACCAAGGCGACGAUCCGUAGCGGGUCUGAGAGGACGGUCCGACACACUGGAACUGGGGCAAGGUCCAGACUUCCACGGGAGGCAGCAGUGGGGAAUUUUGGACAAUGGGCGAAAGCCUGAUGCAGCCAUUCCGCGUGAGUGAAGAAGGCCUUCGGGUUGUAAAGCUCUUUCGGCAGGGAAGAAACGGCUUGGGAUAAUACCCCGGGCUAAUGACGGUACCUGAAGAAGAAGCACCGGCUAACUACGUGCCAGCCGCCGCGGUAA